UACGUAGGUGACCAGCGUUGUCCGGAUUUACUGGGCGUAAAGAGCGCGCAGGCGGUCGUUCAAGUCGCGUGUGAAAGCCCCCGGCUCAACUGGGGAGGGUCACGCGAUACUGAUCGACUCGAAGGCAGGAGAGGGUAGUGGAAUUCCCGGUGUAGUGGUGAAAUGCGUAGAUAUCGGCAGGAACACCAGUGGCGAAGGCGGCCACCUAGCCCGCACCUGACGCUGAGGCGCGACAGCGUGGGGAGCGAACUGG
rnacentral:rRNA from 1 species